CAUGCAUGUCUCAGUACAAGCCAAAUUAAGGUGAAACCGCGAAAGGCUCAUUAAAUCAGUUAUGGUUCCUUAGAUCGUACCCACAUUUACUUGGAUAACUGUGGUAAUUCUAGAGCUAAUACAUGCAAACAGAGUCCCGACCCGAGAGGGAAGGGGCGCUUUUAUUAGAUCAAAACCGAUCGGCGGGCGUCCGCGCCCGUCGCAAAUACUGGUGAAUCUGAAUAACUUUUGCAGAUCGCACGGUCUCGCACCGGCGACGCAUCUUUCAAAUGUCUGCCUUAUCAACUGUCGAUGGUAGGUUCUGCGCCUACCAUGGUCGUAACGGGUAACGGGGAAUCAGGGUUCGAUUCCGGAGAGGGAGCCUGAGAAACGGCUACCACAUCCAAGGAAGGCAGCAGGCGCGCAAAUUACCCACUCCCGGCACGGGGAGGUAGUGACGAAAAAUAACGAUACCGGACUCAUCCGAGGCCCGGUAAUCGGAAUGAGUACACUUUAAAUCCUUUAACGAGGAUCAAUUGGAGGGCAAGUCUGGUGCCAGCAGCCGCGGUAAUUCCAGCUUCAAUAGCGUAUAUUAAAGUUGUUGCGGUUAAAAAGCUUGUAGUUGAAUCUGUGUCCCGCUCUGUCGGUUCACCGCUCGCGCGGUGUUUAACUGGCAUUGACGCGGGACGUCCUGCCGGCGGGCGCGGCUUGUCGCGGGUCCACACGGUGCGGUGCGUGCGACGUCCGUUCUCGGUUCUUUCAACGGGGCCGGCGGGGUCGCGUCGUGCGUGCUCGCCGUUCGCGGCGGCGGCCCGGUCUCGCGGUCCGUCGCGUGCGAAAGCGCGCGCGUCGCGAGACGCWCCUGUCGCGGUGCUCUUAACCGAGUGUCGAGGCGGGCCGGCACGUUUACUUUGAACAAAUUAGAGUGCUCAAAGCAGGCUUGUUAUACGCCUGAAUAGUGUGCGCAUGGAAUAAUGGAAUAGGACCUCGGUUCUAUUUUGUUGGUUUUCGGAAUUUCCGAGGUAAUGAUUAAUAGGGACAGGUGGGGGCAUUCGUAUUGCGACGUUAGAGGUGAAAUUCUUGGAUCGUCGCAAGACGGACAGAAGCGAAAGCAUUUGCCAAAGAUGUUUUCAUUAAUCAAGAACGAAAGUUAGAGGUUCGAAGGCGAUCAGAUACCGCCCUAGUUCUAACCAUAAACGAUGCCAGCUAGCGAUCCGCCGACGUUCCUCCGAUGACUCGGCGGGCAGCUUCCGGGAAACCAAAGCUUUUCGGUUCCGGGGGAAGUAUGGUUGCAAAGCUGAAACUUAAAGGAAUUGACGGAAGGGCACCACCAGGAGUGGAGCCUGCGGCUUAAUUUGACUCAACACGGGAAAUCUCACCAGGCCCGGACACCGGAAGGAUUGACAGAUUGAGAGCUCUUUCUUGAUUCGGUGGGUGGUGGUGCAUGGCCGUUCUUAGUUGGUGGAGCGAUUUGUCUGGUUAAUUCCGAUAACGAACGAGACUCUAGCCUGCUAACUAGGCGUAAGCUUCACUUUUCCGGUAUCCCGAAGGCCCGGCCGGUCGUCCGCAGCGUCGUCGCGUUAACGCGCGGCGGCCUCGGCGAUUCGCGUCGCGGUUUUUCGCUACCGGCGUUUAUACAAAUCUUCUUAGAGGGACAGGCGGCUCUCAGCCGCACGAGAUUGAGCAAUAACAGGUCUGUGAUGCCCUUAGAUGUCCUGGGCCGCACGCGCGCUACACUGAAGGAAGCAGCGUGUAGCUCCCUGGCCGAAAGGUCCGGGUAACCCGCUGAAACUCCUUCGUGCUAGGGAUCGGGGCUUGCAAUUAUUCCCCGUGAACGAGGAAUUCCCAGUAAGCGCGAGUCAUAAGCUCGCGUUGAUUACGUCCCUGCCCUUUGUACACACCGCCCGUCGCUACUACCGAUUGAAUGAUUUAGUGAGGUCUUCGGACCGUCGCUCGGCGACGUUCCGACGCUGCCGUAGUCGAUGGAAAGAUGACCGAACUUGAUCAUUUAGAGGAAGUAAAAGUCGUAACAAGGUUUCCGU
rnacentral:rRNA from 1 species